rnacentral:rRNA from 1 species
CCGGGAAACUGGGAAUAAUUCCGGAUAACGCACAUAUGCUGGAAUGCUUUAUGCGUAAAAUGGAUUCGUCUGCCCAAGGAUGGGUCUGCGGCCUAUCAGGUAGUAGUGGGUGUAAUGUACCUACUAGCCUACAACGGGUACGGGUUGUGAGAGCAAGAGCCCGGAGAUGGAUUCUGAGACAUGAAUCCAGGCCCUACGGGGCGCAGCAGGCGCGAAAACUUUACAAUGCGGGAAACCGUGAUAAGGGGACACCGAGUGCUAGCAUCAUAUGCUGGCUGUCCAGGUGUGUAAAAUACACCUGUUAGCAAGGGCCGGGCAAGACCGGUGCCAGCCGCCGCGGUAACACCGGCGGCCCGAGUGGUGAUCGUGAUUAUUGGGUCUAAAGGGUCCGUAGCCGGUUUGGUCAGUCCUCCGGGAAAUCUGAUAGCUCAACUAUUAGGCUUUCGGGGGAUACUGCCAGACUUGGAACCGGGAGAGGUAAGAGGUACUACAGGGGUAGGAGUGAAAUCUUGUAAUCCCUGUGGGACCACCUGUGGCGAAGGCGUCUUACCAGAACGGGUUCGACGGUGAGGGACGAAAGCUGGGGGCACGAACCGGAUUAGAUACCCGGGUAGUCCCAGCCGUAAACGAUGCUCGCUAGGUGUCAGGCAUGGCGCGACCGUGUCUGGUGCCGCAGGGAAGCCGUGAAGCGAGCCACCUGGGAAGUACGGCCGCAAGGCUG